rnacentral:rRNA from 1 species
AUGAACGCUAGCUACAGGCUUAACACAUGCAAGUCGAGGGGCAGCAUGGUCUUAGCUUGCUAAGGCCGAUGGCGACCGGCGCACGGGUGAGUAACGCGUAUCCAACCUGCCUUACACUCUUGGACAGCCUUCUGAAAGGGAGAUUAAUACAAGAUGUUAUCAUGAGUAAGCAUUUUCGCAUGAUUAAAGGUUUACCGGUGUAAGAUGGGGAUGCGUUCCAUUAGAUAGUAGGCGGGGUAACGGCCCACCUAGUCUUCGAUGGAUAGGGGUUCUGAGAGGAAGGUCCCCCACAUUGGAACUGAGACACGGUCCAAACUCCUACGGGAGGCAGCAGUGAGGAAUAUUGGUCAAUGGACGAGAGUCUGAACCAGCCAAGUAGCGUGAAGGAUGAAGGUUCUAUGGAUUGUAAACUUCUUUUAUACGGGAAUAAACGGAUCCACGUGUGGAUUUUUGCAUGUACCGUAUGAAUAAGGAUCGGCUAACUCCGUGCCAGCAGCCGCGGUAAUACGGAGGAUCCGAGCGUUAUCCGGAUUUAUUGGGUUUAAAGGGAGCGUAGAUGGGUUGUUAAGUCAGUUGUGAAAGUUUGCGGCUCAACCGUAAAAUUGCAAUUGAUACUGGCAGUCUUGAGUACAGUUGAGGUAGGCGGAAUUCGUGGUGUAGCGGUGAAAUGCUUAGAUAUCACGAAGAACUCCCGAUUGCGAAGGCAGCUUACUAACCUGUAACUGACAUUGAUGCUCGAAAGUGUGGGUAUCAAACAGGAUUAGAUACCCUGGUAGUCCACACGGUAAACGAUGAAUACUCGCUGUAGGCGAUAUACAGUCUGCGGCCAAGCGAAAGCAUUAAGUAUUCCACCUGGGGAGUACGCCGGCAACGGUGAAACUCAAAGGAAUUGACGGGGGCCCGCACAAGCGGAGGAACAUGUGGUUUAAUUCGAUGAUACGCGAGGAACCUUACCCGGGCUUAAAUUGCAACCGAAUAUGGCGGAAACGCUAUAGCUAGCAAUAGCGGUUGUGAAGGUGCUGCAUGGUUGUCGUCAGCUCGUGCCGUGAGGUGUCGGCUUAAGUGCCAUAACGAGCGCAACCCUUGCCGAUAGUUACUAACAGGUUAUGCUGAGGACUCUGUCGGGACUGCCAUCGUAAGAUGUGAGGAAGGUGGGGAUGACGUCAAAUCAGCACGGCCCUUACGUCCGGGGCUACACACGUGUUACAAUGGGGGGUACAGAGGGCUGCUACCACGCAAGUGGAUGCCAAUCCCAAAAACCUCUCUCAGUUCGGAUUGAAGUCUGCAACCCGACUUCAUGAAGCUGGAUUCGCUAGUAAUCGCGCAUCAGCCACGGCGCGGUGAAUACGUUCCCGGGCCUUGUACACACCGCCCGUCAAGCCAUGGGAGCCGGGGGUACCUGAAGUGCGUAACCGCAAGGAGCGCCCUAGGGUAAAACUGGUGACUGGGG